ACGCUGGCGGCGUGCCUAACACAUGCAAGUCGAGCGGGGACAUACGACGGACAGGAAGUUUUCGGAUGGAAUGGAAGAUGUAUGUCUAGCGGCGGACGGGUGAGUAACGCGUGAGCAACCUGUCCCUUACAGGGGGAUAACACAGCGAAAGCUGUACUAAUACCGCAUAAGACCACAGAGAGACAUCUCACAGGGGUCAAAGGAGCAAUCCGGUAAGGGGUGGGCUCGCGUCCGAUUAGAUAGUAGGUGAGGUAACGGCCCACCUAGUCGACGAUCGGUAGCCGACCUAAGAGGGUGAUCGGCCACAUUGGGACUGAGACACGGCCCAGACUCCUACGGGAGGCAGCAGUGGGGAAUCUUCCGCAAUGGGCGAAAGCCUGACGGAGCAACGCCGCGUGAGUGAAGAAGGCCUUCGGGUUGUAAAGCUCUGUUGUCCAUGACGAACGGGUCCGGCAGUAACUGGCGGGACAGUGACGGUAGUGGACGAGGAAGCCACGGCUAACUACGUGCC
rnacentral:rRNA from 1 species